GCUCAGUCCUACGGACUGUGGCUUUGGCUACAGGUUAGUGCAAAAAUUGGCAACAUCCAGCUCUGAGCCUGGUUUUAUCUGCUGUUAAUCCAACAAGUUGAAGUCUGGAUAAUUCAGCUUCCUUAGCAACUGUGCAGGACGCAGUGUGCUGCAGGUGUUCAUACAUUUCUGUUUGCAAAGGAAAACAAGGAGCACCUUAGAUGAUGGUCAUAGUCAAAAUCGGGGAAUCACUUGGAACAAAUUACAGACAUCCGCUUUGCUAACGUGCCUCAGGCUGUGGUUCCGAUAGCUUAUGGCCAGUGCUGUCUAGACUGUCUGUACUGGGGUUUGCACUGUGUUUUCCAGAACGUCUUAGUCGUGUUGCUGAGCAUGCACCUAGGAGGAGUUUCUGCCUAGUGAGAUCUCUAGUAACUUUUAUGGAACAAAAAACUGCUGGCGCUUGAACCAAAAUUUAUGGGUUCACACUUAAGUACAAGUGGUGAAAUCCUGUUGCCACUGAAGUCAAUGGCAAAACUCCUGUUAGUUCAGGAUUCCACCCCAGGUCUCUAAACCCACUCCCAGCUCUACCUAAUUCUCUGCAGAAGAAAAGAGACAACCCUGGCUUAGCAAGUUGCAGCGAGGUGUGCAACCUAUUGAGUAUGCUUUGGGUAGCAAGAACGCUCAGUUCCUCUGAGUUGCUCAUUUUCAUGCAGAACCAAGUCCUGCCGGCUUCCCUGGAUUUAUAAUACCUCAGAACUGCUGUAGCCAUUAUGGAUUAAAUUAAAUUUGGGGAUGAGUAAAUUCCAAAUCCGAACUGUGUUUCAUACAUUACAUAGAAACUUUCCUAAAAUAGAGUAGUAAUAAAAAUAGCACUUACUUCAUAGCACUACAAAACCAAGAGCCAAGAGGUUGUUAUGCUAUCAGGGGCUGGCUCUGGGGUUUCUCAAAUGCUCUAGAUGAGAUCCCUGAUUUGACAUCAGUGACUAACAGGAAGUGUAACUUGACUAUCACCUCUUUUCCUAAUUAUGCACUGUAACUGGAUGUUUUUUAAAAACUUCUUUUAGAAUUCUUAUCUCUGUUUUAGAAU